UAGGGAAUCUUCCACAAUGGACGAAAGUCUGAUGGAGCAAUGCCGCGUGAGUGAAGAAGGUUUUCGGAUCGUAAAACUCUGUUGUGAGGGAAGAACAAGUACGAGAGUAACUGCUCGUACCUUGACGGUACCUCAUUAGAAAGCCACGGCUAACUACGUGCCAGCAGCCGCGGUAAUACGUAGGUGGCAAGCGUUGUCCGGAAUUAUUGGGCGUAAAGCGCGCGCAGGCGGUCCCUUAAGUCUGAUGUGAAAUCCCACGGCUCAACCGUGGAAGGUCAUUGGAAACUGGGGGACUUGAGUACAGAAGAGGAAAGCGGAAUUCCAAGUGUAGCGGUGAAAUGCGUAGAGAUUUGGAGGAACACCAGUGGCGAAGGCGGCUUUCUGGUCUGUAACUGACGCUGAGGCGCGAAAGCGUGGGGAGCAAACAG
rnacentral:rRNA from 1 species